AAUCAACGCUGGCGGCGUGCCUAACACAUGCAAGUCGAGCGGGAAAGGGGGCUUCGGCCCCUGAGUAUAGCGGCGGACGGGUGAGUAACACGUGGGUAAUUUGCCCUUGGGUGUGGAAUAACUCAGGGAAACUUGAGCUAAUACCGCAUGACAUCCCCUUCACACACGAGUCGGGGAUCAAAGCCGGGGACCCUUCGGGGCCUGGCGCCUGAGGAGAAGCCCGCGCCCGAUUAGCUAGNGGUGAGGUAAUGGCUCACCAAGGCUUCGAUCGGUAGCCGGCCUGAGAGGGCGGACGGCCACACUGGGACUGAGACACGGCCCAGACUCCUACGGGAGGCAGCAGUGGGGAAUUUUUGUCAAUGGGGGAAACCCUGAACAAGCAACGCCGCGUGGAGGACGACG
rnacentral:rRNA from 1 species